rnacentral:miRNA from 1 species
AAAUCUCUACAGGCAAAUGUGA